GGGCCCGUAGCUCAGCGUGGUAGAGCGGCGGUGGACCCGGCCAGAUCCGCCGAGGCUUUUAACCCGUAGGCGGCGACGCCGGCGGACGUCGUGGGUUCGAAGGGGGAUGGCCCCGAGAGUCCCACCGGGCCCGCCA
rnacentral:tRNA from 1 species